ensembl:lncRNA
ACUAAACCAGGACUAAACCAGGACUAAACCAGGACUGAACCAGGACUGAACCAGGACUAAACCAGGACUAAACCAGGACUGAACCAGGACUAAACCAGGACUAAACCAGGACUGAACCAGGACUGAACCAGGACUGAACCAGGACUGAACAAGGACUAAACCAGGACUAAAACAGGACUAAAACAGGACUAAAACAGGACUAAACCAGGACUAAACCAGGACUAAACCAGGACUAAAACAGGAUUAAAACAGGACUAAACCAGGACUAAAACAGGACUAAACCAGGACUAAACCAGGACUAAAACAGGACUAAACCAGGACUAAAACAGGACUAAAACAGGACUAAACCAGGACUAAACCAGGACUGAACCAGGACUAAACCAGGACUGAACCAGGACUAAACCAGGACUAAAACAGGACUAAACCAGGACUGAACCAGGACUAAACCAGGACUAAACCAGGACUGAACCAGGACUGAACCAGGACUAGACCAGGACUGAACCAGGACUAAACCAGGACUAAACCAGGACUGAACCAGGACUGAACCAGGACUAGACCAGGACUAAA